GAUGAAGAACGCAGCGAAAUGCGAUAAGUAAGGUGAAUUGCAGAAUUCAGUGAAUCAUCGAAUCUUUGAACGCACAUUGCGCCCGCCAGUAUUCUGGCGGGCAUGCCUGUUCGAGCGUCAUUUCAACCCUCAGGCCCCGCCUGGCGUUGGGGAUCGGCGCGGCCCUCUCCGGGCUGCCGGCCCCGAAAACUAGUGGCGGUCUCGCUGUAGUCCUCCUCUGCGCAGUAGCAACGCUCGCACUGGAACUCGGCGCGGCCACGCCGUAAAACACCCCACUUCUGAAAGUUGACCUCGGAUCAGGUAGGAAUACCCGCUGAACUUAAGCAUAUCAAUAAGCGGAGGA
rnacentral:misc_RNA from 1 species